CCUACGGGAGGCAGCAGUGAGGAAUAUUGGUCAAUGGGCGGAAGCCUGAACCAGCCAAGUCGCGUGAGGGAAUAAGGCCCUACGGGUCGUAAACCUCUUUUGCCGGGGAGCAAGGGCCGGGACGCGUCCCGGCCCGGAGAGUACUCGGAGAAAAAGCAUCGGCUAACUCCGUGCCAGCAGCCGCGGUAAUACGGGGGAUGCGAGCGUUAUCAGGAUUUUUUGGGUUAAAGGGGGGCGUAGUCGGGCGUUUAAGUCAGCGGGAAAAAUUAGGGGCUCAACCCCGUACGGCCGUUGAUACUGGGGGCCUUGAGUGGGCGAGAGGAAGGCGGAAUGCGUGGUGUAGCGGUGAAAUGCAUAGAUAUCACGCAGAACCCCGAUUGCGAAGGCAGCCUUCCGGCGCCCUACUGACGCUGAGGCACGAAAGUGCGGGGAUCGAACAGGAUUAGAUACCCGAGUAGUC
rnacentral:rRNA from 1 species